rnacentral:rRNA from 1 species
UGACGGUAUCAUAUGAAUAAGCACCGGCUAACUCCGUGCCAGCAGCCGCGGUAAUACGGGGGGUGCAAGCGUUACUCGGAAUCACUGGGCGUAAAGAGCAUGUAGGCGGGUGAAUAAGUUGGAAGUGAAAUCCUAUAGCUUAACUAUAGAACUGCUUCCAAAACUGUUCACCUAGAGUAUGGGAGAGGUAGAUGGAAUUUCUGGUGUAGGGGGUAAAAUCCGUAGAGAUCAGAAGGAAUACCGAUUGCGAAGGCGAUCUACUGGAACAUUACUGACGCUCAGAUGCGAAAGCGUGGGGAGCAAACAGGAUUAGAUACCCUGGUAGUCCACGCCCUAAACGAUGUACACUAGUUGUUGCUAUACUAGAUAUGGCAGUAAUGCAGUUAACACUUUAAGUGUACCGCCUGGGGGAGUACGGUCGCAAGAUUAAAACUCAAAGGAAUAGACGGGGACCCGCACAAGCGGUGGAG